AUUGAACGCUGGCGGCAUGCUUUACACAUGCAAGUCGAACGGCGGCACGGGCUUCGGUCUGGUGGCGAGUGGCGAACGGGUGAGUAAUACAUCGGAACGUGCCCAGUUGUGGGGGAUAACUACUCGAAAGAGUAGCUAAUACCGCAUGAGACCUGAGGUUGAAAGUAGGGGAUCGUAAGACCUUGCGCAACUGGAGCGGCCGAUGGCAGAUUAGGUAGUUGGUGGGAUAAAACCUUACCAAGCCGACGAUCUGUAGCUGGAGUGAGAGGACGGACAGCGACACUGGGACUUACAAAAGGCACAGACUCAUACGGGAGGCAGCAGUGGGAAAUGUUGGACAUUGGGCGAAAGCCUGAUCCAGCAGUGCCGCGUACAGGAUGAAGGCCUUCGGGUUGUAAACGGCUUUUGUACGGAACGAAAAGCUUCGGGCUAAUACCCUGGAGUCAUGACGGUACCGUAAGAAUAAGCACCGGCUAACUACGUGCCAGCCGCCGCCGUAAAAC
rnacentral:rRNA from 1 species